CAACAUGUAGGAACAGGCCUUUGUCCACAGUGAUAUUGUUUUACCAUUCGGGCCCACCUUCUCAAUAUACUCAACUCAUUAAAAGGAAAAAGUUUUUUUUUUAUUUCUUGAGUUGAGCUAGAAUACUAUCGAUAGCAAACGAGCUCCGUUGUCACCCAUUUGUUUUCGAUGAUGGAGCCUCUAAACCGAUGAUCGGCACCAUUGAAUAUGAUCUAUACCACUUGAAGUGUUUAGAAAUCAAAUUUCAUACAUUUUUUAUAUUUUUCUCUUAUUCAUCGAGUGGACGCAAAAAUGAACGGCUGAAAAUGAAUAUUCUUUAAAAAAUGAUGAUAGGAGUCUUGUAAUCAAGAUCAUUUUAAAUAGUUUAAAGAAUUUUCUAAUAAAAAUUUAAUUGAUUUGGAUACCUUUACACCAUUAAACAAGAAAACGCUUCAUAUCGACCUUUAAAAUUACAAAAUUUGAAACCUUUGAUCAUUAGGCAAAUAAUGUCAAAAAGAUUUGAAAUUUGAUUUCUAAACAUUUGAAAUGGUAUAGAUCAUGUUCAACGGUGUCGAUCGUCGAUUUGGAGGCUCCAUCAUCGAAAACAAAUUGGUGGCAACGGAGCCCGUUUGCUACCGAUAGCAUUCCAGCUCAACUCUUAUUUCUUUUUUAAUUUAAGUUUACCCUUUAGGUUCUCAUCC
rnacentral:lncRNA from 1 species